AAUGAUGGUGGGGGUAACUAAUGAGCAGAGAUUUAAACCCAUCCCAAACUUGAUAUAAACUCUCUCCAUUUUUUUGUUUAAAGCUUACGAUUUCGCUUCUUACCAU